UGGCUGUUCUGAGAGGGAUGAUCAGUCACACUGGGACUGAGACACGGCCCAGACUCCUACGGGAGGCAGCAGUGGGGAAUAUUGCACAAUGGGCGAAAGCCUGAUGCAGCCAUGCCGCGUGUGUGAAGAAGGCCUUCGGGUUGUAAAGCACUUUCAGUAGGGAGGAAAGGGUGUUGCUUAAUACUUAGCAUUUAUGACGUUACCGUCAGAAUAAGCACCGGCUAACUCCGUGCCAGCAGCCGCGGUAAUACGGAGGGUGCGAGCGUUAAUCGGAAUUACUGGGCGUAAAGCGUGCGCAGGCGGUUUGUUAAGUCAGAUGUGAAAUCCCCGGGCUCAACCUGGGAACUGCAUUAGAAACUGCAUAACUAGAGUAUUGCAGAGGGGGGUGGAAUUCCAGGUGUAGCGGUGAAAUGCGUAGAUAUGUGGAGGAACACCGGUGGCGAAGGCAACCCCCUGGACAAUACUGACGCUCAGC
rnacentral:rRNA from 1 species